rnacentral:tRNA from 1 species
UCCGAAUUGGUGUAGGUGGUCAGCAUACGACCCUCUCAAUCACUCCUUGUCUUACGACUCUUAGUGAGUUGCACGGUUGAGACUCGGGUUCGAGUCCCGGAUUCGGAA